AAAAUAAAUUUUAAAUAAAACACCAAACAUUGUAAUGUUAUCUCUUGACCAAAGUUUUCAACUUCGAUCUCUUCUUUCUUUCGUAGGUAUGUUGAAAGUAAAUAAUUAAUAGCAUCAUAUGUAUAGAUACUAAAUAAUUUAAUCAUAUAGAUACUAAAAUUUAAUCAUAUAUAUUUUCUGGAUCUCUCAGAAAUUGGCCGAAAAAGAAAAAAACGCAACAAUUAUUCAAGAUGGCUUAGAUGGAGAAGCAUUCUUUCUGGGUUUAUCUUCAUAUUUUUUAUGCAUUUUAGAAAGAAAUUACGCUAUGAAGCCUCAACCUUACAACAAAGCAAUCAACUAAAGAUGCUCAUUCUACCAAAACGAAAUUCAGUUUGAAGUUUAGAACUGAUCAAUCUUGAAGCCUUAAUUCUGUGCUCCAUUGUCAAAUCUGACCUUCAUAUUUCAAACGUUUUGCAGUGUCAAAAUUUGAAGAAUAUGAAAAAUUGGGGGAAUUGAGGUGAAAUUAAUGGUAGAUUUAGACUAGGUUAAAAAAUGAUGCUGAAAGUAGAAGAUGAAGCUCAUAUUUUCUUCAACUUCAUAUUUGCAAAUAUUCAUGAUUCCAUAUUUCCACGGUUUGUUCUUCGACUAUGGAUAGAAUGAGAGGAGAAGAGAAGAGCGGUGAAGGAGUUAC
rnacentral:lncRNA from 1 species